UGACUUCCAGAUAGAACUUCAGUAGCAGAUUCUCGAAUUUUCUCAAUAAAUGGAUAGAGCACAUUCCUUUCCAUAUCUCCAUAGUAUAAAGAGCAAAGUAGAGAAGAUACAACACUUCCCUGAGGUAUACCUAUACCUUGCAGGUAAAAUUUAUUAUCAAAUUGUAGCAGAUUGCGCUUUACAUGCUCAUUUAAAAUAAAAAAGAGUUUUUCUUUCUUCACACUGCGGCUCAAACCCUGCCAGAAAAAGGAAACAGAAAAAGAUAAAUCUUUAUUUAUUCAAUGUAGACAGACUAGAUUAGAUUGCAGCAUUAGCCAGACAUCAGUACCCAAAAGAAGAAACCAUAAAUGGAACACAAAAAUGCGACCUACAUCAAGAUUGGGGAGGGUAAGGACAGAGAACAAAACCAGUGAGGUAUUCUCUUUGGUAAAAUCAACAAGGUUAUAAGGGUUAUGAAAGCAACGUUUUUUCUUAUUAUUAAAAAAAAUGGAAAAGAACAGAAAGAAACACUACUAGAAUACUAGGACAUGAAGGUCGAACAUUACAUUGUCAAAUGGCUAGCAGAAAUGCAAGAGAUUAUUUUUCAUCUUCCAAGCAGCAUCAGGCAUGAGAACAGCAUUAUGUAAGUAGCUGAUCCAAGCAUUGCAUAUUUCAUUCUGGUUACAAGAGAGUUCUUACCUGACUUACAAGAAUUCUCUGCGAUGAAGGAAAGGUGAGAGAAUUUGUCAAUCUUGUAUAACUAGUACUGGUAUUUUCGUCUGUCAAUAUAGAAUUACCAUGAACCCACAAAGAUUUCUUCAUACAGACAACUUGACAAGACUGUUCAAGAAUAUAUUCAUCCUUCAGUAUGAGAUCAUUCAUAACUCUAAGCAGUUUAUCUUGAUCAAUAGAAUCAAAUGCUUUUGAUACAUCAGAAACCACAAGGAAAACACCAGGAACAGUUAUUGAUUCCUUCCUCAGACCAAUCAGAAAUGAACAAUACUUUCUGUAGACAUCAUUGUAGUCAAAUACUGAUGACCCUAACUUGUCCUGUUCUUUCUGCAGCAAACCUUUUAGAACAACAUGCGCAUCACGAAGAACAUAAUUCACAGGCUUGAAGUGGUCAAAUUUCACCGAUUUAUAGUCCAAUUGAGCUUUCUUCCACAUUCUGGAACUUGUCGCUUCAGAACAGGACUUUUCUGCU
rnacentral:lncRNA from 1 species